GGCUUGGUAGCUCAGUGGCUAGAGCGUGGGAUUGCAGAUCCUAAGGCCACCGGUUCGAUCCCGGUUCAAGCCU